UCGUCAGUGAGGUACAUCCUUACCUGUUACUCCAUCCGUGGAGUAUCAGAAAAUGAUGAAUGGAGCUUAAUGAGAUAUGAUUAGUAUCUCCUCCAUGUAGGGAACAGCAACACCCUGCAUGGCCAUUCUGAU